rnacentral:rRNA from 1 species
AGAGUUUGAUUAUGGCUCAGAGCGAACGCUGGCGGCAGGCCUAACACAUGCAAGUCGAACGAACUCUUCGGAGUUAGUGGCGGACGGGUGAGUAACACGUGGGAACGUGCCUUUAGGUUCGGAAUAACUCAGGGAAACUUGUGCUAAUACCGAAUGUGCCCUUCGGGGGAAAGAUUUAUCGCCUUUAGAGCGGCCCGCGUCUGAUUAGCUAGUUGGUGAGGUAAAGGCUCACCAAGGCGACGAUCAGUAGCUGGUCUGAGAGGAUGAUCAGCCACAUUGGGACUGAGACACGGCCCAAACUCCUACGGGAGGCAGCAGUGGGGAAUCUUGCGCAAUGGGCGAAAGCCUGACGCAGCCAUGCCGCGUGAAUGAUGAAGGUCUUAGGAUUGUAAAAUUCUUUCAGUAGGGACGAUAAUGACGGUACCUACAGAAGAAGCCCCGGCUAACUUCGUGCCAGCAGCCGCGGUAAUACGAAGGGGGCUAGCGUUGCUCGGAAUUACUGGGCGUAAAGGGAGCGUAGGCGGACAUUUAAGUCAGGGGUGAAAUCCCGGGGCUCAACCUCGGAAUUGCCUUUGAUACUGGGUGUCUUGAGUGUGAGAGAGGUAUGUGGAACUCCGAGUGUAGAGGUGAAAUUCGUAGAUAUUCGGAAGAACACCAGUGGCGAAGGCGACAUACUGGCUCAUUACUGACGCUGAGGCUCGAAAGCGUGGGGAGCAAACAGGAUUAGAUACCCUGGUAGUC